rnacentral:rRNA from 1 species
GACGAACGCUGGCGGCGUGCUUAACACAUGCAAGUCGAACGAAGUGGCGAACGGGUGAGUAACGCGUAAUCAACCUGCCCUUCAGAGGGGGACAACAGUUGGAAACGACUGCUAAUACCGCAUACCGAUGGAGGGGAUUGCGUCUGAUUAGCUAGUUGGCGGGGUAACGGCCACCCAAGGCGAUGAUCAGUAGCGGGUCUGGUAGGAUGAACGGCCACAUUGAGACUGAGACACGGCCCAGACUCCUACGGGAGGGAGCAGUGGGGAAUAUGCCGCAAGGGACGAAAGUCUGACGGAGCAACGCCGCGUGAGUGAUGACGGCCUUCGGGUUGUAAAGCUCUGUUAAUCGGGACGCGGUACCGGAAUAGAAAGCCACGGCUAACUACGUGCCAGCAGCCGCGGUAAUUC